UUUAACUCCAACUCACAAAACAGUUUGACGUAUUCUUCAACAGUCGAGAGCUGUAUUGGCCACGUCCUUGCGAGAGUUGGAGAAUGAGAUGAUAUGAUUAGUUGCAUGGCUACUUAAGAGAAUUUAAGAAAAAAGAGCAAAACCGCGGUGGUUCUUUUCUUCGGGGAACGCCACGUGUCCUUUUGGGCAAAUAAUAUGAAAGAACUUCAUGUCAAAGAAAGAUUCACAUUUUAUGAUCAGUUCUUACGGCAUCUUUCUUGAAAUUUCCUCGCGAAAUUUUGAUUUCCGACCCAUAGUGCGGUGAUGAUGGUCGUCUUAGUGGUUGGUGGUCCUUCUGUGUGUCUGUCUGUCUGUCUGCCGUUGCUGCUGCUGCGUAGUCUUCAGAAGGAGUUCGCAGUUCGGUCGAACUCAUUCAUCUGCCUGAUACUUGCCAGUGCCACACAACAGCUGACAACAAAUAAAAGAAGUGAACCGAAUCGGAGAGCCGGACGGAGCUGCUAGCAGGAGAGAAACAGUACGGUGGUGGUACGAGAACGAUGAUCUGGUACCCCGUCAGGAUCAACAACCUGAGAUACGGCUGUUCCGAGACUGAGACGAGAUACGGAAUCGAUCGUUUUUUGCACAAACACAUCGUGAACAACAACAAAAACAACAACCAGUACAGCAAGCACUUUUAGUAGGGUUUUAGUAUUCGAUACCCUGUGCUUUGCUGCCUUUUUUGUGUAUUCGUUGUUUUGCUUCUUCUUUCCUUGCUGUUGAUGACGAAGUGUUUUGGUGUUUCCGCUAGUACCUCUACAGUCGUCGUCUGUAUACCUUCUGCCGUCAUUAAACGGGACGGGUCGUUCGGGCAAGUGAGCAGCUGUUGUGUGUUGUAUUACUGCAGACGACGACGAAUACCUUCACAUUUAACGAGUGGUGCUGCCUCUCAGAACAAACGGUCGAACGUGAUUGGGUUCAGUUUUGGGAUUCUUCUCCCCAUAUCGGGUCCAUUCCCAGCGAGCAUGAUUCUGUCCAAUGACGGGCAGAACAAGGUUCAGCUAGAUGUUUAUAUUUGCUUAUCGCCAAUUGUACCGAAAACCGGAAUACCAGGUGUGCUGUGAUGAUGAGACUCUUGUCAUAUCGGUGCAAUUUUUGAGGCCAUCAUGGUGAACAGCUCCGAACAGAGAGUGCCGAUCGAUACCCGAGGGGCGGCGUAGCAGUGCUCGAUUUGUUGCCGACGACGGUGUCUGAGCUGAGCUUAAUUGGAGCUUCUGGAUUGUGGAUGAACAGAUUUGGGGGUUUUCCACGUUCUUUGGUCUGUAAGCAUAAUAGCGGUGAGAUUCGUUCUAUAUGUCGGUGACCUUCGUGUGAUGUUUUUUUUUUAUUUGAAUAAAUUGACAGAAUACGUGUGAUGUGGACUGAUCUUGAA